UCCUUGGUGGCUCAGCUGGUAAAGAAUCUGCCUGCAAUGCAGGAGACCUGGGUUCAAUCCCUGGAUUGGGAA
rnacentral:tRNA from 1 species